GGCGAGUGAAGAGGGAAGAGCCCAAGAUUGAAAGCUGGCGUCUUCGGCGUCCGCAUUGUAAUCUCAAGAAGUGUUUUCCGCUUCGGACCAAGCCUAAGUCCCCUGGAAAGGGGCAUCAUAGAGGGUGAUAAUCCCGUACAUGGCUUGGAGCGCCCGAGGCUUUGUGAUACGCUUUCUAAGAGUCGAGUUGUUUGGGAAUGCAGCUCAAAAUGGGUGGUAAAUGCCAUCUAAGGCUAAAUAUUGGGGAGAGACCGAUAGCGAACAAGUACAGUGAUGGAAAGAUGAAAAGAACUUUGAAAAGAGAGUUAAACAGUACGUGAAAUUGCCAAAAGGGAAGGGUAGGAGGUCAGAGAUGCGGCCUGGGAUUCAGCCUUGCUUUUGCUUGGUGUUUUUCCCAGAUUGCAGGCCAACGUCGGUUUUGGGCACUGGAGAAGGGUAGGAGGAACGUGGCACCCCUCGGGGUGUGUUAUAGCCUCCUACUGGAUACAGCGACCGAGACCGAGGACAGCAGCGUACUCGCAAGAGCGGGCCUUCGGGCACCUUUACGCUUAGGGCGUUGGCAUAAUGGCCCUCUACCACCCGUCUU
rnacentral:rRNA from 1 species